UGGAUUGAGCCUUGGUAGGGAAAAUCCGUCGACUUUAUAAAUCGUGAGGGUUCAAGUCCCUCUAUCCCC
rnacentral:tRNA from 1 species